UACAGAGGUGGCAAGCGUUGUUCGGAAUUACUGGGCGUAAAGGGCGCGUAGGCGGCCUUCUAAGUCAGACGUGAAAUCCCCCGGCUUAACCUGGGAACUGCGUCUGAUACUGGGUGGCUUGAAUUCGGGAGAGGGAUGCGGAAUUCCAGGUGUAGCGGUGAAAUGCGUAGAUAUCAGGAGGAACACCAGUGGCGAAGGCGGCUCACUGGCCCGAUACUGACGCUGAGGCACGAAAGCGUGGGGAGCAAACAGG
rnacentral:rRNA from 1 species